AGCGAGAAGCUUCUGAACUUCACAAACCGACAGUUUGUUUUACACAAGAUGAAGAGACACGACUUCAGAUCUUACUACGAAUCUAAGAACCCUUCAGAGACUCGAGAGGAAGCAGCGGAUCAGAAGAGUCCAACUGUUUAAAUGAUCCACCAGUUCCUGACCGUGGUUCCAUGUCCAAUAUUUGACCAACAACUGGUUCAGAUGAUUGACUACGUCCUCCGACUGAUCCUCAUGGCAGUACCCGAGGUUCUAGCAGGUUCAGAACAAACUCUACCAGCUUCCAGGUAAAACGAGGCCACGGGUUCCAGGUGGAAGCCGAUGAGUUGUGAACGUUCCCGAAGGCCACGCAGACGGAACAUACAGGUGAGCUAACUCUGUGCUAGAGUGUGC